GAUGAACGCUAGCUACAGGCUUAACACAUGCAAGUCGAGGGACCGGCGCACGGGUGAGUAACACGUAUCGAACCUGCCCUUCACUCGGGGAUAGCUUUUCGAAAGAACGAUUAAUACCUGAUAUAAAGGAUGGGGAUGCGUUCCAUUAGGUUGUUGGGGAGGUAACGGCCCACCAAGCCUUCGAUGGAUAGGGGUUCUGAGAGGAAGGUCCCCCGCAUUGGAACUGAGGCACAGUCCAAACUCCUACGGGAGGCAGCAGUGAGGAAUAUUAGUCAAUAGGCGCUAGCCUGAACCAGCCAAGUAGCGUGAAGGAUGAAGGCUUAUGGGUCGUAAACUUCUUUUAUAUAAGAGUAUGUAUUAUAUGAAUAAGGAUCGGCUAACUCCGUGCCAGCAGCCGCGGUAAUAC
rnacentral:rRNA from 1 species